GUGGGGAAUAUUGGACAAUGGGGGGAACCCUGAUCCAGCCAUGCCGCGUGUGUGAAGAAGGCCUUUUGGUUGUAAAGCACUUUAAGCGAGGAGGAGGCUACCGAGAUUAAUACUCUUGGAUAGUGGACGUUACUCGCAGAAUAAGCACCGGCUAACUCUGUGCCAGCAGCCGCGGUAAUACAGAGGGUGCAAGCGUUAAUCGGAUUUACUGGGCGUAAAGCGCGCGUAGGUGGCCAAUUAAGUCAAAUGUGAAAUCCCCGAGCUUAACUUGGGAAUUGCAUUCGAUACUGGUUGGCUAGAGUAUGGGAGAGGAUGGUAGAAUUCCAGGUGUAGCGGUGAAAUGCGUAGAGAUGCGGAGGAACACCGAUGGCGAAGGCAGCCUCCUGGGAUAACACUGACGCUCAGGCACGAAAGCGUGGGGAGCAAACAGGAUUAGAUACCCUUGUAGUCC
rnacentral:rRNA from 1 species